GACGAACGCUGGCGGCGUGCUUAACACAUGCAAGUCGAACGGAAAGGCCCUGCUUUUGUGGGGUGCUCGAGUGGCGAACGGGUGAGUAACACGUGUGUAACCUGCCCUUGACUUUGGGAUAACUUCAGGAAACUGGGGCUAAUACCGGAUAGGAGCUCCUGCUGCAUGGUGGGGGUUGGAAAGUUUCGGCGGUUGGGGAUGGUCUCGCGGCUUAUCAGCUUGUUGGUUAGGUAGUGGCUUACCAAGGGUUUGACGGGUAGGCCGCCUGAGCGGGUGGACGGGGUCAAUAGGACUAAGGAACCGACCAGGACGCUAACGGAGGGAAUGGGGGGGAAAAUUGCGGAAAUGGGCGGAGUCCGUGAGCAAGAACUCCGGAUCGGGAAGAACGGCUUUCGGGUGGGAACCCACUUGCCCGGAGAAGGGAGCGUAGUGAAGGUAAAUGGUAAAGAAGCACCGGCUAACUACGUG
rnacentral:rRNA from 1 species